AGGGGGGGGAGCAGCGAGCAGCAUGGCAGUCUCUGGCAAAGCGUUGACCACAAGAACCAGCAAGGCCAAAGUACAGUGAGGAAACUUUGAAAACAAAGCGCUGAAUGGCGGGCGCUGACUUCAGCGUGUCUGCCCCCUCUGAUCCACACAAGGUUGCACUGUGUGUGUUCGGCCUCCGAGAACGAAAGGGGCGGCCACGGCGCACAAUCACCACUAAGCACAUACUUUGCUGCCCCACAAUCCCCCACCAGGCCAGACACAAACCCAGGGGCUGUAUGUUUAUCAAAGCGCCUCAGGAUGCUGCCAUGGAGACAGUGCUCUUAUAUCUGUGGGGCUUCCACCUACUGUAUACCGCCAGAACAACCACACACGCGUUCACACAAACUGCAAAGAAUUCCUCCAUGCUUCACCCAAUCGCUGCAAACCCAAGCAGCGUUUGACCACAAUGAACCAUUUUACUCACUCUGCUGCGAGGAUCAAAACUAAACUGGGCUCUCCUAUGAAACCAGGAGCGAAAGUCGACACAUAUCACACAACAUAAUCUUUAUGUUUAAAGACAGCUGCUCCAAAUCCUUGAUUGAAAGUACGAACCAAAUGAACCGUGAACAUGAGCACACAGAAAUGUGAAGUAAUCCAUUGGAGCUGUUUAUGUAUUAAAGCGUAUCAAGUCACUUUUAUGCUUUUCCAAUAAAUGCAAAAUGACAUUAAAACUGCAAAACUAAUGUUUAACACUGACAUGGGGAGUCAGAAUAUUGUUCUUUACAUUCAUUUUACAUUGCAG
ensembl:lncRNA